rnacentral:misc_RNA from 1 species
CCUUUCAGUACAGAAGAAUUGUGCAGGGACUCCCUCACAGUUCUUCCUGUAUAUCACCCUUGUCUUUUGCGCACUUAUGUUUCCUCGGCAGGCUUGCCUGCCGGUUGGACAAAAAUUAUAACCUUUUUAAUUUUCAAUCAGCGUCUGAAAUAAUUUAAUAAUUA